rnacentral:rRNA from 1 species
ACUUUCAGUCGUGAGGAAGGUAGUGUAGUUAAUAGCUGCAUUAUUUGACGUUAGCGACAGAAGAAGCACCGGCUAACUCCGUGCCAGCAGCCGCGGUAAUACGGAGGGUGCGAGCGUUAAUCGGAAUUACUGGGCGUAAAGCGCAUGCAGGUGGUUUGUUAAGUCAGAUGUGAAAGCCCGGGGCUCAACCUCGGAAUUGCAUUUGAAACUGGCAGACUAGAGUACUGUAGAGGGGGGUAGAAUUUCAGGUGUAGCGGUGAAAUGCGUAGAGAUCUGAAGGAAUACCGGUGGCGAAGGCGGCCCCCUGGACAGAUACUGACACUCAGAUGCGAAAGCGUGGGGAGCAAACAGGAUUAGAUACCCUGGUAGUCCACGCCGUAAACGAUGUCUACUUGGAGGUUGUGGCCUUGAGCCGUGGCUUUCGGAGCUAACGCGUUAAGUAGACCGCCUGGGGAGUACGGUCGCAAGAUUAAAACUCAAAUGAAUUGACGGGGGCCCGCACAAGCGGUGGAGCAUGUGGUUUAAUUCGAUGCAACGCGAAGAACCUUACCUACUCUUGACAUCCAGAGAACUUUCCAGAGAUGGAUUGGUGCCUUCGGGAACUCUGAGACAGGUGCUGCAUGGCUGUCGUCAGCUCGUGUUGUGAAAUGUUGGGUUAAGUCCCGCAACGAGCGCAACCCUUAUCCUUGUUUGCCAGCGAGUAAUGUCGGGAACUCCAGGGAGACUGCCGGUGAUAAACCGGAGGAAGGUGGGGACGACGUCAAGUCAUCAUGGCCCUUACGAGUAGGGCUACACACGUGCUACAAUGGCGCAUACAGAGGGCAGCCAACUUGCGAAAGUGAGCGAAUCCCAAAAAGUGCGUCGUAGUCCGGAUUGGAGUCUGCAACUCGACUCCAUGAAGUCGGAAUCGCUAGUAAUCGUGGAUCAGAAUGCCACGGUGAAUACGUUCCCGGGCCUUGUACACACCGCCCGUCACACCAUGGGAGUGGGCUGCAAAAGAAGUAGGUAGUUUAACCUUCGGGGGGACGCUUACCACUUUGUGGUUCAUGACUGGGGUGAAGUCGUAACAAGGUAGCGCUAGGGGAACCUGGCGCUGGAUCACCUCCUUA